AUUGAACGCUGGCGGCAGGCCUAACACAUGCAAGUCGAGCGAGCGGCGGACGGGUGAGUAAUGUAUGGGGAUCUGCCUGAUGGCGAGGGAUAACUACUGGAAACGGUGGCUAAUACCGCAUACCAUCAGAUGAACCCAUAUGGGAUUAGCUAGUAGGUACGGUAAAGGCUUACCUAGGCGACGAUCCCUAGCUGGUCUGAGAGGAUGAUCAGCCAAACUGGGACUGAGACACGGCCCAGACGCCUACGGGAGGCAGCAGGGGGGAAUAUUGCACAAUGGGCGCAAGCCUGAUGCAGCCAUGCCGCGUGUAUGAAGAAGGCCUUGGGGUUGUAAAGUACUUUCAGUCGGGAGGCGUUACCAACAGAAGAAGCACCGGCUAACUCCGUGCCAGCCGCCGCGGUAAUAC
rnacentral:rRNA from 1 species